rnacentral:rRNA from 1 species
CCUACGGGAGGCAGCAGUAGGGAAUCUUCCACAAUGGACGAAAGUCUGAUGGAGCAACGCCGCGUGAGUGAUGAAGGUUUUCGGAUCGUAAAACUCUGUUGUAAGGGAAGAACAAGUACGAGAGGUAAUGCUCGUACCUUGACGGUACCUUGCGAGAAAGCCACGGCUAACUACGUGCCAGCAGCCGCGGUAAUACGUAGGUGGCAAGCGUUGUCCGGAAUUAUUGGGCGUAAAGCGCGCGCAGGCGGCCUUUUAAGUCUGAUGUGAAAGCCCCCGGCUCAACCGGGGAGGGUCAUUGGAAACUGGAAGGCUUGAGUACAGAAGAGAAGAGUGGAAUUCCAUGUGUAGCGGUGAAAUGCGUAGAGAUGUGGAGGAACACCAGUGGCGAAGGCGACUCUUUGGUCUGUAACUGACGCUGAGGCGCGAAAGCGUGGGGAGCAAACAGGAUUAGAUACCCUGGUAGUCCACGCCGUAAACGAUGAGUGCUAGGUGUUGGGGGGUUUUACCGCCCCGUUCNGUGCUGAGACUACGCAUUAAGACACUCCGCCGUCGGGGUAGGUACGGCCGGCGACGGACGUGAACGUACGAAAGGAAGUUAGUACGGCGUGAGACGUGCCGACGGACGACGACGAGGGAGGAGGG